ACUUAAUAGAUACCCAGGUAGUCCACGCCGUAAACGAUGAAUACUCGGCAUCUGGUGGGCGAUUUUCGUCCGCCGGGUGCCCCAGCUAACGCGGUAAGUAUUCCGCCUGGGAACUACGAGCGCAAGCUUAAAAACUCAAAGGAAUUGACGGGGGCCCGCACAAGCAGCGGAGCGUGUGGUUUAAUUCGACGCAACGCGCAGAACCUUACCCAGGUUUGACAUGCUACUGCAAGCCGGUGAAAGCCGGUCGCCUUCGAGGGUGUAGCACAGAUGCUGCAUGGCUGUCGUCAGCUCGUGUCGUGAGAUGUUGGGUUAAGUCCCGCAACGAGCGCAACCCC
rnacentral:rRNA from 1 species